rnacentral:rRNA from 1 species
AGUGAACGCUGGCGGUAGGCCUAACACAUGCAAGUCGAACGGCAGCACAGUAAGAGCUUGCUCUUACGGGUGGCGAGUGGCGGACGGGUGAGGAAUACAUCGGAAUCUACUUUUUCGUGGGGGAUAACGUAGGGAAACCUACGCUAAUACCGCAUACGACCUACGGGUGAAAGCAGUGGAUCUUCUGACCUUGCGCGAUUGAAUGAGCCGAUGUCGGAGUAGCUAGUUGGCGGGGUAAAGGCCCACCCAGGCGACGAUACGUAGCUGGUCUGAGAGGAUGAUCAGCCACAUUGGAACUGAGACACGGUCCAGACUCCUACGGGAGGCAGCAGUGGGGAAUAUUGGACAAUGGGCGCAAGCCUGAUCCAGCCAUACCGAGUGGGUGAAGAAGGCCUUCGGGUUGUAAAGCCCUUUUGUUGGGAAAGAAAAGCAGCAGGUUAAUACCCCGCUGUUCUGACGGUACCCAAAGAAUAAGCACCGGCUAACUUCGUG